rnacentral:lncRNA from 1 species
GGAAUACAAGUUAUUUUGAAAGCGAGUAUCAGCAAUAAUGCUGGUGAGUUCAUAAGUAUUUAUGUGACUUUGAUUUGUAAAGCUGUAAAGAAAGACCUGUAAAUGUAUGAAGGAAAGUUUGUACCAACGAACAUGUUUGCAAGUAAUUGUAAACGUUUGAAAACCCUAGAAAAUCCCAUAUUUUCUACUAGUAUAAAUUGUAGUCUUCUACCAAGACUCGACUGUUUUGAAUGUUUGCUUCAGAAAUCCAAUAUUUGUUUAUAAGUGGGUGGUAGUUUAAAAGACCCAAAGAUGUACUACCAUGAUAUUUUUCAUGUCUAAAACAGUAGAUUUGUGUACAGUUAUAACUGCUAAGGUAUAUGAUAACUCCGUAAAUCAACAUGUUUUUAAUACUCCAUGUGAGUUUUAUAACCAUGCUAUUGACACUGAUGGCCUGUAACAACGUUCUUCAGGCGUUGGAAUGUUAUGACAUUUGUCACCCCAGACCUGUUGCCGGUCUAACUGUAGCUAAUAGUUUAGGUGCGGGAUUGUCAAUCCCGUAUAGAUCUAUACACAAGUAUCACGCUCUCCCUCCAAGAGAUUAUGAUAUAUAAUACAGGACUUGAAAUGCAUACAUAAAUGUACGUUGAAUUUUGAAUAUCUCACAACUUAGUAUAAAAUAGAUUUACGUAUGAAAAUGUCCAUUUGUUUUUAGAUGAAAACACCUUCUUGAUAUGGCACUUGUAGUAUAUAAAAUGUUAUGACUAUCUAGUGUACUAUCUCAUGUAAUUGUAUUCCUUGAAAUGGUAUGUCUUGAAGUUGUAUGCUUUUGUAAUUGUAUGUCUUAAGAUUAUAUGUCUUUUAAUUGUAUAUGAUUGUAUCUCUUCGCAUAGUAUGUAAUGUAUUUGUAUAGACUCACGAAUAGACUGAAUCUUGUAUGAAUCCUGGUACUUGGAAUGGUAAAUAGUAUAUCUUAACUAUACCUAUUAUAGUUACUAGUAGUGUGUGUGUAUCAUCGAAAUAUGCCUUUGUUACCCAAAGGUACUGAACCAACUGAAUAGAAAACUUUUAUGUCUAUAUCUGUAUACAUGAGAUAUAUAUAUAUAUAUAUAUAUAUAUAUAUAUAUAUAUAUACAUAUAUAUAUAACCAUGCGUGUUUAGGCGUGCAUUUGACAAAUAAAAUAUAAAAGAAGUUUUGUAUAACCUUUGAGAAGUUUAAUAAAUAAUAAGAAGUGAUUACUUGGUGUCAGUUUAUAAAACGGUUUGAAAGUAGUUUGUUUGACAAGAAUAAUUUUAAGUAUAAGAAGACCUUUGCUUGAAAUACGAUUCUAAUGGUGUUUGAAAGGAAAUAGAAAGUAUGUAAGACAGUUUGAUAAAGAGUUUUAACAUGUAAAAAUGUUUGUCGUAAACUAUUAUAGUUUUUCCAAAAGUUCGUUUCAUUUGUAUAGUAAACCUUAGUGUGAUGCUCACUUGUAUUGUAAUGUGUAACUUUUGUGAUGACAUAAAUGAACACAUGUACUCAAGGUAUAAAUAAACCGUUUUAUUCGUAUACGUAUAACCACCUAUUUUAUUUCAACGGAUAAUAUGAUAUCGUGUUAUGUUUUCCGUACGAAGGAUUUCAUAUAAUGGUUAUGAAUCACAUAUGUUUACUUUAUAAAAAUGAGUAUUUAGUGAAUCUUUGAGUUACACACGAUAAUAAUCGUGUGUUUACUUGUAUUCCCCCCCUUAAAAGUGUAUAUUAAAACAAUAUUGAUAACACAUUUAAAAAUGUAGAUUAUAGGGGCAUGAACUCACCGAAGAAAGUGCGUGAUUUGAAGAAAACGAGAUUUUCCCGGGCGGCACCUCGACCGGAAAGUGACGAGAUUCUCGGGAAUCUCGGGGCUUCGGACUUUCGUCGGGGCUUGAAUAUGAAACUGGGAAGUCGGGAUAUUGUCGGCACGAAAAACGAGGCAAAAAUGAGAGAGAAUUGAAGUGUUUUUGUGAAAAUAGUCGGCACCCUCGCAGCCUAUUUAUAGGAGUUGGAGGUCCUCGGUAUGCAGGGCGUACUUCGGACUUACGCGGGGCGUACUCCGAAGGUACGCGGGGCGUUCGUUUGCGUCACUGCUUACCGCAUCCUCAGGCGAAGUGUCUGGUCGACGUGGCUGAUCCGGAGCCUUGUAUCCGAGUACUCGGGGCGUACGAGGGUACGCAGGGCGUACUCCUUCGGAUAAGACUUUGAAGUGCGUGCCAAGAACUUCUAAAAUGCGUAACUUUCGCAUACGAGCUCUGUUUUUGAUGUUCUUUAUAUCCACGCGAAGGUGAGAAAAUAUUCUACAACUUCCAUUUAGACUCCGUCGGCUAAUUUUGACUUUACUUUUAAUUAUAUUUUAAUUAAUAGGUCGGGACACAAUAAUUUCGUUAAAAACCCAUAACUUCUUCGCUAUAACUCGGAUUUUAGUGUUCUUUAUAUGUACGAAAACCUUGAUACGAGUCCUACCACUUUAUUUAACCCAAAUAUGAUUUUAGGAAAGUUAAAUUUUGGAUUAAAUUUGUCUGGCGUUACAUUUUUAUUGUCUCAAAAUAUCGGGUUGUUAAAUCAUCCCCCUAUUAAAGGGAAUUUCGUCCUGAAAUUCGAGUUUUAAGUAGUAUUAACAAUCAUUCUACGGACUGGAGUUCUAUUUGAUACUCGUGUUCUUAAGCAAACAUUCGUCUUCGCCUGGCAUUCCAGUGAAUCUUUCACUAAUGGGAUACGACUUUGCUUCUUUCGUUUGACUUCACUGGUAUGAUAUGCUUUCCUUGUUGAAUGUGUGUUGUGUGUUUCCGUGUUUGGUGAGAGUAUUACACCUUGUACCCUGCAAGUGGUGUCUCCAGAUCUUCAGAGCAAUUAACGCUGCUUCUGAAUCAGGGUCAUGUGUCGAACAGUCAAAUUCUUGUGUCUUAAACUGUUUUGCAGUACAGGUAGUGAUCUUUCCUCUUGCAUAAGAACACAACCAAGCCCUUGGUUGGAUGCAUCGCAUUACAUCACGAAAUAUUAUAUCCCCUUUUGGGAGGGAUAAUAUUGGUGCGAUGCAUCAGACAUACUUUAGUGUUUGGAACGCUCUUUCUUGUUUACAAACAAGUCUGGUGAUCCUACAAGUGAGAAACUUGGCCUAAGAAAUCCUCUUAUGAGGAGUUCGCUAAGCUAUCUGGGAAGUUCCAGUAUAUUAGUUGGAGCUAGACGAUAAGGUGAUUUCGCUACUAGGGUAGCCCCUGGAACUAAGUCAAUUCUGAAUUCGUCUUGACGUUGUAUUGGUAGUCUCGUUUGUCCUUCUGGAAAGGUUUCGGGAAAACCGCGUACUUCUUGGAUGUUCUUGAAUGUCCUUCACUUCUUGGCACGUCUCGGCGAUGUGUGCAAGGUAUACAUGAUAUUCCUUUCGUAAGCAUUUUUGAGCUUGCAUACAGGAAAUGAUGAGAGGGUUUGUACUUGGUUCGUGGCUGUAAAUAACUAGGGCUUCGUUGUUAGGGAGGUUAGGACGAACUGCUUUAUCAAAGCACCUGAUGUUGGCUCGAUGUAGACUGAAUCAACUACUACUGAUUAUGAUGUCAAAAUUUGGGGGUGGAUUAGUUGUCGUGAAGGUCUAAAAGAUAGUAUGACUACUCAUGAAUUAGGCAAAAGGAUAGGUAUUUCUAUAUAUUUAUUCUCACGGAAGCACGAUCAUUCGUAGUCUUGGGCAGUCUUCGUCCUGAAGUUCAUAGUAGAACUCAUACCUGGUCCAUCCAUCACAGUCUCGGGUAUACGAGUCGUAUAUAAUUAAGGUUGAGAAGGUAGUCGAAUAAAUGAUUCUUCCUUUAAGCUCUCAUCCCAUCGAGGAAAAAAGAAGUUAAAUUGGAAUUGUCAAUUCCAAACUUGUAGAACCUUGAUUAUAUAUUAUCCCUAAGUAUACGUUCAUCAGCGAAGAUCAACCGUAUGGACCUUUGGAUUUGAACUUGAUGUAUAGUACAAGUGGUACUUCGGGGAUUUCUUUGGAAAGAAGAGAACUAUGAGGUAUUCUAUAUAUGGGUACUUCGGUGUUCUGGGAUGACGGCUUCGCUGAAAAGGCGAUUUCGAAGAAAGAGAUGUACGUAUGAAGCUGUUUUUGUGAGGAUCAAAUUGAAUCAAGUCGUAAGAUAGUGUUGGAGUCAUAAAGAAACUUAAAGACAUUAGUUUUGAAUAUAAAAUGUUUACAGACAAAACACAACCGUGCAACCAUCAACAGAGUUACAGUAUUUUAGACUACUACAAGUCUAUUGUCGUGAAUAAGGUAUACUAUAUAAGGCAAGUAUACAUAGUACGAGCAUCCCUAUAAUGACGGGAUCUCGCAAAGGAUAAGACUCUGAUUGUGCUAGUUUUGGAUGGUUUAUAGGUCUGUUACAAUGAAACGCCUAAAUUACAUUAACGUGGGUUCGUAGUAGGUUCUCCUGCAGCUGUGAUCCUGAGAAUCCUACCGUCUGCGCCAGAGUUCUUUGUUAUAGGACAAUCCUUCUUGAGAUGCCCUAUCUCCCCGCAUUGGUGGCAUGACUGGCUAGUACUAGCCUUGGUGGCGGGAGUGAGGUGUUUAGCCAGAGUUAUGUGGACACGAGUGCCUUCCUCAUUACACCACCUUGGAAACUGCUUUCUAAAGCGUUCUGCAGGAGUUUCCAUGUGUUGCUAUGGCAUGGCAAGUCUUUGGGGUCUCUUGCGCUCCUUUAGGGCUUGACGAUAUCGCCUCUUCCUUUCGGUCUUAUGGCUUCAUGAGUCUAUGACUGUUGCCAUUUUUUGUUUUCCCGGUUCGGUAUUACCAUCAGAACUCUCAACUUCUUUGUCGGUCUUGCUUGUGUUGCCUGAGUUGAUGUGCGUAAGGAAAUUUGUCACCGCAGCUGCUACUGCAGCUUGUAAUGAAGCGGCGUCGAUAUGAAGGAUAGGGUUUUCGUUGCUCGGCUGAUCGUUCCCGGAUGACGACAUGAUUCUGUAACAUGAAAAAUAAAGAUUUUUGUGAGCGAUUCUGGUUGACUUCUAGAUGUACUUCGAUUGCUUUAGGUAAAGAGUAAAAGUAUGUUCUCGCAAGUUUGACCUACAUCCCUAUGAUGCAGUCCUAGUACGGAUUGGAAGUAUGUUCAUGAUGGUUUGAUCUACAUCCCUAUGAUGCAAUCAUAAUAUAGAGUAGAAGUAUGUUUGUAGAAUGGUCUUUUAAGACGUUUGUCAUUCAAGCUGAGGUAUCAUUGGUUGGUGGAUAACAUGAUCCAUCCACUAGAAGGGACAUGGAAAUGCCUCCAGAGUUAAAUUACUAUAGUCCAAUGACUUGACUAAAGCAUAUUAAUGAAGGUAUGAUGUGGGUUUUUGAGCAAAAGGUGACACGAAAGUUAGCCGACUGUCAAUAUCAUCGAUUCUUUACGAUGUAAUAAGUUUAGGAAAAUUUGACUUUGAAGAAGGUCUUACAUGAUAUCCAGAGUAGAAUGGUUUUGGCCGCAUAAAGGCCUAACUAACAGUACUUACAGUACAAGAUAGUUUCAUAGAAAAUGUUGCAUCGGGCAUAGACAGAAAAAAUAGUUCAUUUAAACAAGGUAGGGAAAUAAAGCCUUUCUUUCUGGCGGAGGUCAUCCUUCUGGUGAACUCUCAGUUUAGCCAAUUAAUGUUCCAUUAUUAAGAAGGUGUCUUUCGUACACUCUCGGACGCACUCGUUUCUCUAUGACUUUGGCUCGUGUUUUAGCUAGUGCUUGCAGCAGGGUCUCAUGGUUUCUCUCAGAUCUCUCACGAGUGUUUUUAAGAUGAUUGGUGUAGAUGAUGUGCAUUCUUGUAUUGGCAUUUAACCUCUUCGGUAUAUUGGAGAGUCGUCCUGCCCUGAAUUUCGUUUCAAGCAACUCUACGGAUCAGGAUUGGUAGAACUUUGUCUGCUGAGCUUCCUUUGUAGCAGCUUCGGUCUCCUUUAGAUGGCAUAGGUUGAUCUUGCUCUUCGCUCCAUGUUUCCAAGCAUUCUACGCAAGGAAGUGUCGAGCCAUGAAGAGCUGGAUGAGGGUUAGGAUUUGAAUUGGGAGCCACCGGGGUUAGGUUCUCAUUCUCGAGUUCAGAGUUAUCAUCAUCCGAAAGGUCUUCAGUAUGGUGAUCAUUCAAAAGGGAUUGGAUGAUUAUUCUCUGGUUCUUCUCUGAACCAUCCAGCAUUGCCUUUGUUUGGGAAGUACGAGUUGUCGUGGGGAUGGGGUCCAACUAUGUUAUCUAUACGGUAAUUUGGGGUAUAAGAAUCUAACACAUAAGUAGUUUAUAGAAUACACAAAAUACUCCUAUAGUAUUUUAGGUUUACGUUCUAUUGUUCCCAUUGUGGUAUUGUGGGUAAGUUUUUAGACUUGUUGCAACUCACAACCACACUUAGGCACAUGCUAGUCAACCCUUGGAAAAUAUAGUUGAUCAGGCUAUAUCAUCCCAGUUUUGACUAUAUGUCUCUAAGUCUACUUGUGCUGCCCAACAAUCAUAAUACUUUUGUUCUGUCUUAGUGACACCAAUUUUAUUAUGAAUGCAGACAUGUAUAAUUACUUAAAUAUUUUAUUAUUUAAAAGUAUACACUCUUUAUCAGAGUAUUUUAAUCCCUAUUGUAUUUAUAGUUUGCAUAUCUUUUAUGGGUUGAUAUACUUAAUUCACUAUAAACAAUGCUCUGAUACCAAUCUGUCACACCCCAAAACCGAGAACGGUGGAAACGUUCUGGGGCGGAGGACGUCAUGUAAUGUAUCACAACAAUGCAAAGUAGUAAACAAGCAACAACAUCAUCCAUUGCAUUAAUAGUAUAAUUUUAAUUACAUUUGAGUUCUUUCAUAGUAUAAUUCUACAAAAUGAAUAAAAGGCGAGUCUUGAUUGCUCCGUCUUCGCAGAACCUGGUAGUCGUACCUGUCUAUCCGUAUCCUGGGAAUACAAGUUAUUUUGAAAGCGAGUAUCAGCAAUAAUGCUGGUGAGUUCAUAAGUAUUUAUGUGACUUUGAUUUGUAAAGCUGUAAAGAAAGACCUGUAAAUGUAUGAAGGAAAGUUUGUACCAACGAACAUGUUUGCAAGUAAUUGUAAACGUUUGAAAACCCUAGAAAAUCCCAUAUUUUCUACUAGUAUAAAUUGUAGUCUUCUACCAAGACUCGACUGUUUUGAAUGUUUGCUUCAGAAAUCCAAUAUUUGUUUAUAAGUGGGUGGUAGUUUAAAAGACCCAAAAUUGUACUACCAUGAUAUUUUUCAUGUCUAAAACAGUAGAUUUGUGUACAGUUAUAACUGCUAAGGUAUAUGAUAACUCCGUAAAUCAACGUGUUUUUAAUACUCCAUGUGAGUUUUAUAACCAUGCUAUUGACAUUGAUGGCCUGUAACAACGUUCUUCAGGCGUUGGAAUGUUAUGACAUUUGUCACCCCAGACCUGCCGGUCUAACUGUAGCUAACAGUUUAGGUGCGGGAUUGUCAAUCCCGUAUAGAUCUAUACACAAGUAUCACGCUCUCCCUCCAAGAGAUUAUGGUAUAUAAUACAGGACUUGAAAUGCAUACAUAAAUGUACGUUGAAGUUUGAAUAUCUCACAACUUAGUAUAAAACAGAUUUACGUAUGAAAAUGUCCAUCUGUUUUUAUAUGAAAAUACCUUCUUGAUAUGGAACUUGUAGUAUAUAAAAUGUUAUGAAUAUCUAGUGUACUAUCUCAUGUAAUUGUAUUCCUUGAAAUGGUAUGUCUUGAAGUUGUAUGCUUUUGUAAUUGUAUGUCUUAAGAUUAUAUGUCUUUUAAUUGUAUAUGAUUGUAUCUCUUCGCAUAGUAUGUAAUGUAUUUGUAUAGACUCAUGAAUAGACUGAAUCUUGUAUGAAUCCUGGUACUUGGAAUGGUAAAUAGUAUAUCUUAACUAUACCUAUUAUAGUUACUAGUAGUGUGUGUGUAUCAUCGAAAUAUGCCUUUGUUACCCAAAGGUACUGAACCAACUGAAUAGAAAACUUUUAUGUCUAUAUCUGUAUACAUGAGAUAUAUAUAUAUAUAUAU